rnacentral:rRNA from 1 species
GCGGUUCUUUUUUAUUAGGACGCGAUGAACCUUACCAAGGCUUGACAUACCCCGGAGACAUCCAGAGAUGGGUGCCCCGCAAGGUCGGUGUACAGGUGGUGCAGGUGAGAGUGUGCGGCCACCCUCCCCCCCUUAA